rnacentral:rRNA from 1 species
UCCUACGGGACGCAGCAGUAGGGAAUCUUCCACAAUGGGCGAAAGCCUGAUGGAGCAACGCCGCGUGGGUGAAGAAGGUCUUCGGAUCGUAAAACCCUGUUGUUAGAGAAGAAAGUGCGUGAGAGUAACUGUUCACGUUUCGACGGUAUCUAACCAGAAAGCCACGGCUAACUACGUGCCAGCAGCCGCGGUAAUACGUAGGUGGCAAGCGUUAUCCGGAUUCACUGGGCGUAAAGGGAGCGCAGGCGGCAUGGCAAGUCUGAUGUGAAAACCCGGGGCCCAACCCCGGGAGUGCAUCGGAAACU